GGCAUGCCUAACACAUGCAAGUCGAACGGUAACGGACCGCUGAGAUUCCUUCGGGAUGAUCUUGUCGCUGUCGAGUGGCGGACGGGUGAGUAAUGCAUAGGAAUCUGCCCAGUGGCAGGGGAUAACACGGAGAAAUUCGUGCUAAUACCGUAUAAGCCCUACCGGGGGAAAGCCGGGGGAUCUUCGGACCUCGCGCCAUUGGAUGAGCCUAUGUCAGAUUAGCUUGUUGGUGGGGUAACGGCCUACCAAGGCAACGAUCUGUAGCUGGUCUGAGAGGAUGAUCAGCCACACUGGAACUGAGACACGGUCCAGACUCCUACGGGAGGCAGCAGUGGGGAAUAUUGCACAAUGGGCGCAAGCCUGAUGCAGCAAUGCCGCGUGUGUGAAGAAGGCCUGCGGGUUGUAAAGCACUUUUAUCGGGAAAGAAAAACUCAAGGUUAAUACCCUUGAACUUGACGGUACCCGAGGAAUAAGCACCGGCUAACUCCGUG
rnacentral:rRNA from 1 species